GCCCGUCUGGCGGAAUUGGUAGACGCACUUGGUUUAGGUCCAAGCGCCUAUGGUAUGGGGGUUCGAAUCCCUCGACGGGCACCA
rnacentral:tRNA from 1 species